rnacentral:rRNA from 1 species
UUUUUCUUUUUCUUUUUCCCAUUAGGGAGGAAAAGAAACCAACAGGGAUUGCCUCAGUAACGGCGAGUGAAGCGGCAAAAGCUCAAAUUUGAAAUCCCCCGGGAAUUGUAAUUUGAAGAGAUUUGGGUCCGGCCGGCGGGGGUUAAGUCCACUGGAAAGUGGCGCCACAGAGGGUGACAGCCCCGUGAACCCCUUUAAAGCCCUCAUCCCAGAUCUCCAAGAGUCGAGUUGUUUGGGAAUGCAGCUCUAAGUGGGUGGUAAAUUCCAUCUAAAGCUAAAUACCGGCGAGAGACCGAUAGCGAACAAGUACAGUGAUGGAAAGAUGAAAAGCACUUUGAAAAGAGAGUGAAAAAGUACGUGAAAUUGUUGAAAGGGAAGGGCUUGCAAGCAGACACUUAACUGGGCCAGCAUCGGGGCGGCGGGGAGCAAAACCACCGGGGAAUGUACCUUUCGAGGAUUAUAACCCCGGCCCUUACUCCCNCACCANCCCGAGGCCUGCAAUCUAAGGAUGCUGGCGUAAUGGUUGCAAGUCGCCCGUCUAGAAAACCGGGAACAAAAAAGAAAACA